UGGGGAAUUUUGGACAAUGGGGGCAACCCUGAUCCAGCCAUGCCGCGUGCAGGAAGAAGGCCUUCGGGUUGUAAACUGCUUUCGGACGGAAAGAAAUCGCCCCUCCUAAUACGGGGGGUGGAUGACGGUACCGUAAGAAGAAGCACCGGCUAACUACGUG
rnacentral:rRNA from 1 species